AAAUUGAAGAGUUUGAUCAUGGCUCAGAUUGAACGCUGGCGGCAGGCCUAACACAUGCAAGUCGAGCGGAAACGGCAGUAUUGAAGCUUCGGUGGAUUUACUGGACGUCGAGCGGCGGACGGGUGAGUAACGGCUGGGAACCUGCCCUGACGAGGGGGAUAACCGUUGGAAACGACGGCUAAUACCGCAUAAUGUCUACGGACCAAAGGUGGCCUCUACAUGUAAGCUAUCGCGUUGGGAUGGGCCCAGUUAGGAUUAGCUAGUUGGUAAGGUAAAGGCUUACCAAGGCGACGAUCCUUAGCUGGUUUGAGAGGAUGAUCAGCCACACUGGGACUGAGACACGGCCCAG
rnacentral:ncRNA from 1 species